GGCUCAGAUUGAACGCUGGCGGCAUGCCUUACACAUGCAAGUCGAACGGCAGCACGGGAGCUUGCUCCUGGUGGCGAGUGGCGAACGGGUGAGUAAUACAUCGGAACGUACCCUGAAGUGGGGGAUAACGUAGCGAAAGUUACGCUAAUACCGCAUAUUCUGUGAGCAGGAAAGAGGGGGAUCGCAAGACCUCUUGCUUUAGGAGCGGCCGAUGUCGGAUUAGCUAGUUGGUGAGGUAAAGGCUCACCAAGGCGACGAUCCGUAGCGGGUCUGAGAGGAUGAUCCGCCACACUGGGACUGAGACACGGCCCAGACUCCUACGGGAGGCAGCAGUGGGGAAUUUUGGACAAUGGGCGCAAGCCUGAUCCAGCCAUGCCGCGUGAGUGAAGAAGGCCUUCGGGUUGUAAAGCUCUUUCGGUGGGGAAGAAAUUGCACAGGAUAAUACCUUGUGUAGAUGACAGUACCCGCAUAAGAAGCACCGGCUAACUACGUG
rnacentral:rRNA from 1 species